rnacentral:lncRNA from 12 species
CUUCAGUACUCUUUUCUUUUACCUCUUUCUAUUUUCUUAGAUAUUCUUGGACCGUGUUUCUUUGCACUGUCUGCUAUACAGAAGACCAGCACUGUUUGAGGACAGAGACAGCACUCUUGUUUAAAUAAUGAUCUAAUGUUAUUCAUCAAUGAAGAAUUUUCAAGCAUGUGAAAGGUGAAUGCCCAGGAUGGUACCAGGCAACACAAUAUGCUACAGGAGUAUUGACAGUCCUGCCACUAGAGCACCAAGGCUGAGCCCCACAGAAGGAAACUCCGUGACCCUGAGCUCACCCUGGACCCUCAGCCAAAGCACUGGGUCUGUCUAUGUUGAUGUGAGUGGGCUGGCCCUGUCCAUUGGCAGGAGAGGUGAAGGCCAAGAACUGUAACCCCCCUGGAGCCCACAGCACUUUGCCAGGCAGGUUAAUGGAAAACAGAUGAGGUCUGCCAGAAUUUUGUUGCAAUUGCACAAUCUCAGUAAAACUUCCAUUGGAAUUUAAAAUCAAAUGAAUGGAAA